UACGGGGGGGGCUAGCGUUGUUCGGAAUUACUGGGCGUAAAGGGCGCGUAGGCGGUCUGCUAAGUUGGAUGUGAAAACUCUGGGCUUAACCCAGAGCCUGCAUUCAAUACUGACAGGCUAGAGUUCUGGAGGGGAUAGCGGAAUUCCUGGUGUAGCGGUGAAAUGCGUAGAUAUCAGGAGGAACACCGGUGGCGAAGGCGGCUAUCUGGACAGAGACUGACGCUGAGGCGCGAAAGCUAGGGGAGCAAACAGG
rnacentral:rRNA from 1 species